AAAUUCCUGGUGUAGCGGUGAAAUGCGCAGAUAUCAGGAGGAACACCGAUGGCGAAGGCAGGUCUCUGGGCAUUAACUGACGCUGAGGAGCGAAAGCAUGGGGAGCGAACAGGAUUAGAUACCCUGGUAGUCCAUGCCGUAAACGUUGGGCACUAGGUGUGGGGGACAUUCCACGUUUUCCGCGCCGUAGCUAACGCAUUAAGUGCCCCGCCUGGGGAGUACGGCCGCAAGGCUAAAACUCAAAGGAAUUGACGGGGGCCCGCACAAGCGGCGGAGCAUGCGGAUUAAUUCGAUGCAACGCGAAGAACCUUACCAAGGCUUGACAUGAACCGGUAAUACCUGGAGACAGGUGCCCCGCUUGCGGUCGGUUUACAGGUGGUGCAUGGUUGUCGUCAGCUCGUGUCGUGAGAUGUUGGGUUAAGUCCCGCAACGAGCGCAACCCUCGUUCUAUGUUGCCAGCACGUGAUGGUGGGGACUCAUAGGAGACUGCCGGGGUCAACUCGGAGGAAGGUGGGGACGACGUCAAAUCAUCAUGCCCCUUAUGUCUUGGGCUUCACGCAUGCUACAAUGGCCGGUACAAAGGGUUGCGAUACUGUGAGGUGGAGCUAAUCCCAAAAAGCCGGUCUCAGUUCGGAUUGGGGUCUGCAACUCGACCCCAUGAAGUCGGAGUCGCUAGUAAUCGCAGAUCAGCAACGCUGCGGUGAAUACGUUCCCGGGCCUUGUACACACCGCCCGUCAAGUCACGAAAGUUGGUAACACCCGAAGCCGGUGGCCUAACCCCUUGUGGGAGGGAGCUGUCGAAGUGGGACUG
rnacentral:rRNA from 1 species